UAACCUGCCCAAGAGACUGGGAUAACACCUGGAAACAGAUGCUAAUACCGGAUAACAACACUAGACGCAUGUCUAGAGUUUGAAAGAUGGUUCUGCUAUCACUCUUGGAUGGACCUGCGGUGCAUUAGCUAGUUGGUAAGGUAACGGCUUACCAAGGCAAUGAUGCAUAGCCGAGUUGAGAGACUGAUCGGCCACAUUGGGACUGAGACACGGCCCAAACUCCUACGGGAGGCAGCAGUAGGGAAUCUUCCACAAUGGACGAAAGUCUGAUGGAGCAACGCCGCGUGAGUGAAGAAGGGUUUCGGCUCGUAAAGCUCUGUUGGUAGUGAAGAAAGAUAGAGGUAGUAACUGGCCUUUAUUUGACGGUAAUUACUUAGAAAGUCACGGCUAACUACGUGCCAGCAGCCGCGGUAAUACGUAGGUGGCAAGCGUUGUCCGGAUUUAUUGGGCGUAAAGCGAGUGCAGGCGGUUCAAUAAGUCUGAUGUGAAAGCCUUCGGCUCAACCGGAGAAUUGCAUCAGAAACUGUUGAACUUGAGUGCAGAAGAGGAGAGUGGAACUCCAUGUGUAGCGGUGGAAUGCGUAGAUAUAUGGAAGAACACCAGUGGCGAAGGCGGUUCUCUGGUCUGCAACUGACGCUGAGGCUCGAAAGCAUGGGUAGCGAACAGGAUUAGAUACCCUGGUAGUCCAUGCCGUAAACGAUGAGUGCUAAAUGUUGGGAGGUUU
rnacentral:rRNA from 1 species